AUUGAACGCUGGCGGCAUGCCUUACACAUGCAAGUCGAACGGCAGCACGGGAGCAAUCCUGGUGGCGAGUGGCGAACGGGUGAGUAAUAUAUCGGAACGUGCCCAGUAGUGGGGGAUAACUGCUCGAAAGAGCAGCUAAUACCGCAUACGACCUGCGGGUGAAAGGGGGGGAUCGCAAGACCUCUCGCCAUUGGAGCGGCCGAUAUCAGAUUAGCUAGUUGGUGAGGUAAAGGCCUACCAAGGCAACGACCUGUAGUCGGUCUGAGAAGACGAACAGCCACACUGGGACUGAGACACGGCCCAGACUCCGACGGGAGGCAGCAGUGGGGAAUUUUGGACAAUGGGCGCAAGCCUGAUCCAGCAAUGCCGCGUGCAGGAAGAAGGCCUUCGGGUUGUAAACUGCUUUUGUCAGGGAAGAAAUCCUCUAGGUUGAUACCCUUGGGGGGAUGACGGUACCUGAAGAAUAAGCACCGGCUAACUACGUGCCAGCCGCCGCUGUAAUAC
rnacentral:rRNA from 1 species